CAUAUUUCUACCACUGUGGUAAAUGAUCACUGGCUAAUUUAUGCAUAAUAUUAAAAAGUAGGUUUAGGUGGAAAAAUUAUGAUUGAUUUCCCCUCCUAUCACCAUCCCCUUUCCUUCCCUCUACACACACUUUGUUUUUUGUCUUAUUGUUUCUACAAAAAAUAUAUAUAUAAAAUAUCAACAUGAUUUAACCGUAACUGUUCAAGUAAAAAGAAAAGAAAUAUAAGAGAAAUUAAGAGUAAAGAGAAUCCUCCUCCUUAACUAAGACACCAAUGUAACGUAUACAAAUGGUUUAGGGAGGCUGCCGACGUGAUGAGAUGAGCACCCUAUGCGACAAGCUUUGUUGAUAAAACGUAAAAAACGUGCACCAAUUUCAGGAACCAACAGUCAUAUUUUGACAAAUUAUAUUUGGGAAAAUAGCUAUAAUCAUAUUUUGACAUUUAGUUUGCAUAAGUCUUAUUUUUCAGUAAUGACGAUCUAUUAAUUAUAUAAUUACAACGACAUAAUGAUGACAUAACAACAAUACAAUGAAGAUAUAAUGACAACAUAAUAAAUAAAUACUGAUCAUUUUUGCAAUGAAAUGUCAAAAUAUGUUUAUAGCUAGUUGUCCAUCAUAUUUUUAUGAUCAGACUGUUUUUGUAAACAUGUGUCAAGUAUUGAUACAUCAUCUUGAGAGGUCUUCCGUCUCUGAAAUAUAAUGAGCUUCACUUAAUUUUUAUAGUACUGUUGGAGGUUUUAUUUUAUUUUAUUUUAUUUUUUGCAGUACAAGUGAUCUUUCACAAUAAUGAAUGGGAGGAUUUGAAUCUACAAUGGAACGAGUUGAAGACGAAAGCUCUAACCAUCAUAGCGAUCUAUUACUUUCAAUAUUAUCGGAAUUAGUGUCAGACUUAUUGAUUUGGUUCUGCACUUAAGAAAAUUGGGAAUAAAGUUAGCAAAUGGUGAGAAAUAUGUUGCUUCUAAGCCGAUUGACCAGAAAGAAAUUGUUGCUUCUAGUUGUAGGCUAAUGCUUGCCUAUAUUGUUGUUUUUAUCAGCGUAAUGAAUCAAAGACCUAGCAAUAGUAUCAGUAAUUUAAUUAACGCAGUGAUUCCACCGUAACGAUUAUGGAACCAAAACAAAACGAAUAAAAACAAAAUAAAAUAAAAUGUGUUUACUACUAUUUGGACACAUGCAAUGGGCACGUGUAGGACUGAUUGUCCAUUAUGUUCAUGAACCGACCACGCUGCUACACAAGUCAAGGCCGGAAAGCUGGAGAAAAUUGACUCUUUGCUCCAAGAAACGUGUCGGAGACUUGGAGGUUUUGUAUUUUUUUUAUUUUUUUUACAUUGAUAUUUUUAUAUUAAGGGAUUGAAGACUUGAAGGUAAGUUCAGUGCUCAAAUUUUGACUUCAUACCCAAACGUCACUAAUUUACAGGGCGGUAUAACGGGUUUUUAAAGUUCAAUUCUUGAUAAAAAUUAAAAUUUAGUGUUCAAAUUACAUAUUGAGUUUAGUCCUUUAAUGUGUAUUUUAUUUUAAACUUAUUAAAUUUUUGCUUUAAUGUUUAAUGAGUAUUUUACUGAAUAACUCUUCGUUGAAUUUAAAAUUUAUUAUUUACAUAUUUUAAUUCAUUAAUUUGGCUUAACUUUCUCAAAUGAUUUUCUUAUAAAUUACCUAAAUGAGAAGAAAUUGUGACACAUUAUAAUAAAUGAAAACUAAUGAAAAAUAUUUCAAAAUUUUGAAUUUUAACAAAAAAAAAAAAAAAAAAAAAAAAAAAAAAAACUAAACUCAACCAAUUCUUAACUAAUGAUAAAAACAAAAGAAAGAAAAAACAAAAAAAACUUAACUAAAGCGUGUGCAAAGAAUACGCCAACCAAUUCUUCACAAUUUUAAAAUGUUUACCUAAUAAAGGAUCAUGAAAAUAUUUUU
rnacentral:lncRNA from 1 species